rnacentral:rRNA from 1 species
UACGGAGGGUGCAAACGUUGCUCGGAAUCAUUGGGCGUAAAGCGCACGUAGGCGGCGAAGCAAGUUGGGUGUGAAAGCCCUGGGCUCAACCCAGGAAGUGCAUUCAAAACUGCUUUGCUUGAAUCUCGGAGGGGGUCAGAGAAUUCCCGGUGUAGAGGUGAAAUUCGUAGAUAUCGGGAGGAAUACCAGUGGCGAAGGCGCUGACCUGGACGAAGAUUGACGCUGAGGUGCGAAAGCGUGGGGAGCGAACAGG